GCCUGGCUGGCUCAGUUGGUAGAGCAUGGAACUCUUGAUCUUGGGAUGGUGAGUUCAAGUCCCACGUUGUGUA
rnacentral:tRNA from 1 species